GACGAACGCUGGCGGCGUGCCUAAUACAUGCAAGUCGAACGCAGUGGGGCCGGGUGAGUAACACGUGGGUAACCUCCCAUCAGAGGGGAUAACACUUGGAAACAGGUGCUAAACCGAUACUGAUGGAUGGACCCGCGGUGCAUUAGCUAGUUGGUGAGGUAACGGCUCACCAAGGCCACGAUGCAUAGCCGACCUGAGAGGGUGAUCGGACACACUGGGACUGAGACACGGCCCAGACUCCUACGGGAGGCAGCAGUGGGGAAUCUUGGGCAAUGGACGAAAGCCUGACCGAGCAACGCCGCGUGAGUUAAGAAGGGCUUCGGAUUGUAAAGCUCUGUUGUUAGGGAGGCGGUAUCUAACCAGAAAGCCACGGCUAACUACGUGCCAGCCGCCGCGGUAAUAC
rnacentral:rRNA from 1 species